CAAGCAUCUCUAUCCGAAGGUUAUGGUAGGAUUACCGCUUCUAAGAGGAAUAAACCCAGCUUCAUGUUUUCCACGAACUGCUAUUGGCUAUGAGGCCACUUGCUACAGUCACAUCUGGAGUGAGGUCUUUGCUGCUGAUAUAUUUGCCUCGAAGUUUCAUGAUGAUAUUUUCAACCUGCAAACAGGCUUGCAGUUUAGGAAUACGGUGUUGGCUCCAGGAAGAGGAAAAGACCCCCUUGAAAUGUUGUCAGAUUUUCUUGGGAGGGAACCAUCAAUGCAAGCUUUUCUUGACAAGAGAGCUGAUACAUAUUAGAGCUUUGUUUCACUUUUAAUAGCAGGGUGAUUUUUUCUGCCCCAUCCUGUAAAGUUAUAGAAGCUGGCAAGAAUAUACUAUUUCUCAUCAUGAUGGAUAAUACUCUCUAGGAGAAGAAACAAAAAAGACCAGAAAUGUGUAAUGUG
rnacentral:misc_RNA from 1 species